rnacentral:rRNA from 1 species
CCUACGGGGGGCUGCAGUGAGGAAUAUUGGUCAAUGGACGAGAGUCUGAACCAGCCAAGUAGCGUGAAGGAUGACUGCCCUAUGGGUUGUAAACUUCUUUUAUAAAGGAAUAAAACGAGGCACGUGUGCCUUUUUGCAUGUACUUUAUGAAUAAGAAUCGGCUAACUCCGUGCCAGCAGCCGCGGUAAUACGGAGGAACCGAGCGUUAUCCGGAUUUAUUGGGUUUAAAGGGAGCGUAGAUGGGUUGUUAAGUCAGUUGUGAAAGUUUGCGGCUCAACCGUAAAAUUGCAAUUGAUACUGGCAGUCGUGAGUACAGUUGAGGUAGGCGGAAUUCGUGGUGUAGCGGUGAAAUGCUUAGAUAUCACGAAGAACCCCGAUUGCGAAGGCAGCUUACUAAACUGUGACUGACAUUGAUGCUCGAAAGUGUGGGUAUCAAACAGGAUUAGAUACCCGUGUAGUC